rnacentral:rRNA from 1 species
AACGAACGGUGGCGGCAUGCCUAACACAUGCAAGUCGAACGAGAUCUUCGGGUCUAGUGGCGCACGGGUGCGUAACGCGUGGGAAUCUGCCCUUUGGUUCGGAAUAACAGUUGGAAACGACUGCUAAUACCGGAUGAUGACGAAAGUCCAAAGAUUUAUCGCCAGAGGAUGAGCCCGCGUAGGAUUAGCUAGUUGGUGUGGUAAAGGCGCACCAAGGCGACGAUCCUUAGCUGUCUGAGAGGAUGAUCAGCCACACUGGGACUGAGACACGGCCCAGACUCCUACGGGAGGCAGCAGUGGGGAAUAUUGGACAAUGGGCGAAAGCCUGAUCCAGCAAUGCCGCGUGAGUGAUGAAGGCCUUAGGGUUGUAAAGCUCUUUUACCCGGGAUGAUAAUGACAGUACCGGGAGAAUAAGCUCCGGCUAACUCCGUGCCAGCCGCCGCGGUAAAAC